AAAACGACUCUCGGCAACGGAUAUCUCGGCUCUCGCAUCGAUGAAGAACGUAGCGAAAUGUGAUACUUGGUGUGAAUUGCAGAAUCCCGUGAACCAUCGAGUCUUUGAACGCAAGUUGCGCCCCAAGCCAUUAGGCCGAGGGCACGUCUGCCUGGGUGUCACGC
rnacentral:rRNA from 1 species